UACAGAGGGGGCAAGCGUUAUUCGGAAUUAUUGGGCGUAAAGGGCGCGUAGGCGGCCUGGCAAGUGGAAGGUGAAAUCCCUCGGCUUAACCGAGGAACUGCCCUCCAAACUGCUUGGCUUGAGUCCGGGAGAGGUGAGUGGAAUUCCCGGUGUAGCGGUGAAAUGCGCAGAUAUCGGGAAGAACACCCGUGGCGAAGGCGGCUCUCUGGACCACAACUGACGCUGAUGCGCGAAAGCUAGGGGAGCAAACAGG
rnacentral:rRNA from 1 species